CCCAUUCUCUUCUUUUCUCUUACUGAGGGAACCUUAAUUUUAUUUGGGGAUGACUUGUUAUCAGCUAAAAGGCUAUAUUUCCCAACAUUCGUUGUUUAAAGGGUGGCCAGUGUGACACAAACAGAAAUCCUUAGCUGAGACUUUGAGAAAGUUUUUGGAGCAGAGGCAUUGACUCAACUUGAAGACUCACACUUGUCCAUUCCCAUUCCCCUUCCGACAUGAGACCUGAAGCUGCAAUAAACAUCUUGGGACUUGGAAGAUAGAAGCCAUGCUCUCAAGUUGGCAGCAGAACGAUAGAAGUCUGGGACAUCAGAGAGUUGCCAUGCCAGUCUUAGAAGGCCCACUGCUAUCUGUUUAAGCCCCUGGUUGUAGAAUCCACAGUUCCUUACAGAUGGCUCUUAUAGCAGAAGAGUCCAACACAAGGAGAGCCUGCCAGACCCAUGCAGCCAACAGUGGCUGGGCAAAUGCAGAUGAGAAGAGAAAGAAAGUGCCCUGGGAAUGUGGAAUACUGCUGUGGCAACCCAACAUCCCCCGAAGAUUAGGAUGGCAUGGUCUGUUGCCCUGGGACCAUGGACUUUGCCUCUUCUUCCCUGCCACUCCAUCUCCUCAGGGAUUGGCCCCUCCUGGGUCACCAGCCUUGAUGUGCUCAUUUGUGCAGGAGAUAAACUAAGACCUCCUUUCCUUAAAACUAUAAAUAUAGGAAGUUUUGACUGUGUGCUAGAGUACUCGCAGGUACCUAGGAAGACAGUGGAUGUUUAUAGUAGGCAGAAAUAGGAAGCUUUGGGAAAGGUGGAUCUAGCCAAGCUCAAGGACCCACACUUUUAAAUGCUAAAAGCAACACAGAUAGGGUUCAGGUAAGAAUUUCCCUUAAAAAAAAUAAUCUGUGGUUCUCAAUCUUAACUGCCUAAAAUCACCUGGAAAAUUUUUAAAUAAAAAAAAAUGAAAUUCCCACUCCCAGAACAAUCAUAUCAAAAUGCCUGGGGGUGGGACCCAUUCAUCAAUGGUUCUUGGAGCAACCAAGGUGAUCCCAGUGCGUAGCCCAGAUUGAGAACCACUGAGCUUAAAAGAAUAAUGAAAGAAGGCCAAGGCUUUAAUGGAUUGAUGGCCAUAUAAAUUUAAUGGCCAUAUUUCUAGUCUGUACUUAGGUAUCUGAUUUCUUUAAAUCUUGCUUUAUAAUGUACUCUGGCCUUCACUGACAAAGCCAAUUAGAGAUCUAUAAACAAGUUAAAAUGUUAAUAGUUGGAAUUAAUGAGGGAAAAAAAUACCUUGAGUCACUGUGCUCUGUGAGCUACCCCCAUCUGAGAAAGGCUUUGUGAGCUGGCACAUCCAGGGCCACCCUUUUUUCACUGAACAGGCUUGGCUUGGAAGAAUGAGAGACGAAGUCAAAGUGCAUCAAUGCAAAAACUGGAAGAUAGCAGAUCGAGAAGCUGGAUGGACAUCAGAUAUGCACCCUGGGGGAAGAGGCUGAAUUUUAGAUGCAGUAGGAUAGCAGGGAAGACAAGAUCAGCAGCUUACCUGGGCAGCGGCACCAGCAUCCAGGAGCCCCUUGGACUGGACUUCGGUUCGCCUCGCAGGCAGGAAAGCCCAGGAAAGGAGGACCCAGUUGACCCUCCCUCUUGGCAAAAUGAGAGAAAAUCCAGGGAAGCUCUCCAUCCAAGAAACCUGUGAGCGGUGACUUGACAGGGUCAAGUGUCCCUACUCAGAUGACCUUUAUCACGUGGCCCUGGCUCAUCGGAUUUCCAAACAUAAAUGCUAACCCAUUAAGAGAUUGCCAGGCUGGCUUUGUGACAUCGGUACCCAGCGGGUGGGCACGGUGUGACCAAUGUUCAGCGAUGGGGUGGCAGGAAGAGACCGGGGCUUGCUCUACAGCCCUGCCCAACAGAACUUUCUGCAGUAAGAGGAGCGGUCUGCAUCUGCAAGCAGCCCACGGCCACGGGACUCAUGCGGCCUUGAGCACUCGCACGGGACCAGCUUCAAUCCUCCCGGACUUCUGUUUUCUUGCUUCCCUCACAUUCAGCUUCUCCUUGUUGGUUCAUCAGUCUCUAGCAGCUCCGGCCAAAGCCUCUCCUCGGCUAACCCUACCCCACUGGCCAAACUUCAGCAAGAAGCAACUUUACGCUAUCUGCUUUGAAAAGACUGAGUGUGGCUUUCUCUGAGCAGGAUGAGGUUGGCAAGGAUGGCUGAAGCUGGGCGUGAUGUUCCAAACUGCUAAUUUGCUAAAAUAAUUUGGGAAAGUGCUACUUUAAAACCCCGACAUGAGCUAAAGCAACCUCUCUGCAAUUUGUAGGAGGCAAAAGUCCAUGCUACUGGAGGUUACGCAUGCUAAUUGUCUCAGUGGUUGUUUAUGAAAUGGCUAUAGAAUAUUUGUUUCUCUCUGUCAGAGCACUUGGCCCAGAAAGGCAGGCUCCCUUGCUGAGGUUUUCUAUCGUGGCCCAAUCCAAGGACUCAGCCUGAUUUCUUAUCAACUGGAAAUUUGGAAUUACAUAAUCAGCUCCCUGCGCCUGCCCUCCCCCCACCCUCAGGAGCUGCAGAUGUGUUCAUCGUAGCCUUUGCAGUCCAGGCAGAUUGUCCUGUGCAGAGGUCCUGCUGAGCAGAGACUGACAGGCAGACACAGGGGACUGUGUUUUGUACUAUUCUGGUCAACCGCCUACCGUUGGCUGGAUCAGGGCUGGGGAUUGACCCCAGAGCCCCCGGCUUCAUAGGCUGGACAGUGACCUAUGACCUUGCACAAAAGAAUGCCCUCCAUGGGGGGAUCCCCAGCUGGCUCAGCAGUUUGGUGCCCACCUUCAGCCCAGGGUGUGAUCCUGGAGUCCCGGGAUCGAGUCCCGCAUCUGACUCCUGCAUGGAGCCUGCUUCUCCCUCUGCCUGUGUCUCUGCCUCUCUCCCUCCACACCCCCCCCCUCUCUCUUUCUCUCUGUGUCUCUCAGGAAUAAAUAAAUAAAAUCUUAAAAAAAAAAAAAAAGAAAAGAAAAGAAAAAGAAUGCCCUCCAUGGAGAUUUCCUUUCUCUGGACUCUAAACUGGAAGCAGAAAUGGCAGAUGGGGUUGAGAGAAGAGCUAAACGGAGUGGCUCAGCGAGAGAGCCCUCUCAGCCAGAGACUGAGAUUUUGCACAAAUGGGGGAGAGCCUCGGAAUCUGUGUUUUUAAAAUUCCUCCGGAGACUCCAACACACUCAUAUCCAGUGUGUUUUAAUUCCAUAGGUACUUAGUCACCUCCCCCAGGACACUUGUACCUAACCUCACACCUCCCGUUUGGAACUUUAACCUAAGAGACCGCCAGUAUUUUGCUCUUGUUGGUAGUAACUCAGUGUAAGGCUUUCCAUUUAAUAUUUCCUUAGGAUAGAUUGCUAGUGGUGGGGUUAAUCAUCAGAGAGAUACUUAUCUUUGCGGUUCUCGCCACAGGUUGCCUCCCAACUGGUUGUGUGACUUCACCGCAUCAUUGAUUAACUGAGCGUGUCAGUUUUGCCACAACCUUGCCAGCACCGACAAUACUGUUUUGCAUUUCCCUCCUAAUCCCCUGCAUUUCUUUAGUAAAGGUUUGAAAGUGCCUAAAGUCUGCUUUAAUUUACGUUGUCUUUAAUUAUAGUUAAGAUAAUCAUUAAGAUAAUGUGUCCCAUUUCCCAAAGUAAUGUCAUCUAGACACCCCCCUCUCCUACUAUUUUUCUCCUUGUCUCCCAUUUUCGAAAGCACGCCCCAGCUUUCGAUAUUUCCAGCGGCAGCAUCCCCGACCCCUGCCCCCCCUCCACCCGAAAAGCAGUCUUUUCCCAUUAUAGCAAAGUCCCUAUUGUGUUUUCCAGUGGUGUUCUGCACACAAUGACUGGGACGCUUACUUGUCCAGGCACCAUGUCCUUAUAAAGACAAGGCAACCGGAUUAAAGAAAAUCAAGCCCAUUUCUUAACUGCAGGACUUCUCAGAGCCUUCAACACUCCUUUAACAAAUGCUUGGUGAACUUCCAAGAGAAUUUCACACCUAUUUGGCCAGCCUCAUGAUCCUUGUGUGCCCAAGCAUGCCGAAGGAAUGGUGACCUGGAGGAGGUACUUCGAGAAGCCCCGCCCUGGCCUAGAGGUCAUGCCCACACUAAAGUCAGCAGGCUGCCCAAAGUGGGCAAAAACAUGGCAUCCCUCAGUCACUCCACUUUGGACACCAAUACACAGUGAUGAAACACAGACAUAUCUUUCUUUUUAUUUUUACUUAUUUUAAAGAUUUUAUUUAUUUAUUAGAGAAAGAGAGAGAGCACAAGCAGGGGAAGGGACAAAGGGAGAGGGGAAAAGCAGACUCCCCGCUGAGCAGGGAGCCCAAUGUGGGGCUCAAUCCCAGGGAUCCAGGAUCAUGACCUGAAGGCGGACACUUAACUAACCGAGUCACCCAGGCACCCCCAUAUCUUUCUUUUUAAAUAUUUAUUUAUUUGGAGAGAGGGAGGAGGCUGUGUGUGCACAAGCAGGGUAGGGGCAGAGGGAGAGGAAGAGAAUCCCCAAGCAGACUCCCUGCUGAGAGGGGAGCCUGACCCAGGGCUCCAUCUCAAGACCCUGAGAUCAUGACCGGGGCCAAAAUCAACAGACACUUAACCGACUAAGCCACCCUGGCACCCAUAAACCCUGACAUAUCUUAAGAAAUAUUUUAAAUAAUAUAUUUGAAAAAUCAGUGAGGCUGCUGGAAAGAUAUUUUGUGGCUUGAAAAAGGAAGCAACAACACGACAUGUGGAAGAGGAUCCCAUUUUUGUUUAGAAAAAAAUAUUUAUCUUACUGAUGACUUGUUUGUCACCUCCAACCAACCCUUACUGUCACUUGAGUAGCUUUCCAACAGCAAGAAGGUCAAAUCAUACAGACCAUUCUAAGUCUGCUUAAAAUUUUAGGAUAUAUUCAUAUUGACAGACUAUCGUGUGUGCUGAUUGCACCAUCAUGUCACGCUUUAUCUUUUGUUUUAAAAUGUAUGUCUUGGGGGAUCCCUGGGUGGCGCAGCGGUUUGGCGCCUGCCUUUGGCCCAGGGCGUGAUCCUGGAGACCCGGGAUCGAAUCCCACGUCGGGCUCCCGGUGCAUGGAGCCUGCUUCUCCCUCUGCCUGUGUCUCUGCCUCUCUCUCUCUCUCUCUCUCUCACUGUAUGACUAUCAUA